AACUGGCUUACUGGCUGCUCUUCCAAAGAGCGUAGUGUUCCCCUACUGGUUCUCUUUACACAGCGCAAAAAUACUCGGACUCAAAGUACUUUAAAAGUUCAACCGAAUUUGAGGGGUGGAGAACGUAACAAACGUAAGAACGCAAGCAACCGUAAGUGUCAGUAAAAAGCGAGAUAGAAGAUGUGUUGAAAAACAUCGAAGUGUUUGACGUGAAACGUAAGCGAACGCAAGCAAUCGAUAGGAGAUUUACGCUCUGCCCUCAAAAAAUAGAGCCGGAAAAAAUCGAUGUCAACACGACUAAAUCGAUUUCUUCGGUCGAUGCAUCAUCGAUCGAAUCGAUGUAUCGGAACCAUAAGAAAAAAAUCACUGUGAGCAAAGAGGAGGAAAACUUGCAAGUAAGGAAUUGUUGUGUGAUGGUGGAUCGGAGAUUCGGAGUAAAAUGGACAAGGAUCGGAUGGCGAGAAAGGUUCACCUGAAUAAAAUGAGCCCAAGCGGAAAUGUUCAAAGUCUAAUGUCUGGAAUCUUUUUAAACGAUUGGAAAGUGGAUCAGCCAAAUGCCUCACAUGUGGGCUUGUUUACAAAGCCUGUGGCAAAACAAGAAAUCUAUGCAAUCAUUUGAAGCGGGCUCAUCCGGGUUCAUCCUGUGCUCAGCGUUCCAAAAGCAGUAAGAACGAUUAAGGAUUUUUUCGAUGCUAAUCCAUAGAAAAUAUUCGAAAAUGGCUUUGCUGGACAAGGCCCUUAUUUCGAUGAUCACUACAGUAUUGUGGAAGACGCAGGAUUUCGCAAUUUUGUCUACUGGCUGGACCCGCAAUACAAUUUACCCAGCAGAAGGACAUUAAAUUAUGUCUUAUUGACAAAUAUGUAAGACGAUAUGUACAAAAAACUGAAGGAUAUUCUCAGCAAGGUAAGGCACUGCGCUGUGACUACCGUUGGAUGGUCUCUUAAACCAACUACGGUUAACAAGCUUGUUUUUGCCAGCAAAAACCAAUGGAUUCCAGAAAUGUAAUUCUUUGUUUUGUUUUGAAAUUACUCUGCAUUACUUAUUUUUUCGUUUUUUACUUUUGUUUUUUCUUUUUUUACAUAAUUUUAAAGAUAUUUGAUCUCAGUGAAAUACCAUUACUUUUCUUACUUACGAGGUUUCUUACUUUUGUAUAUUACU